rnacentral:lncRNA from 1 species
GGGAUUCUAAAUUUCCAAAGGUAAGUGUUCCUUGAUAUUUGCUCUUGAUACUUUGAUGGAGAAUCUCGUUUAGGAGGCAGGUUAUUGGGCCUUGGCCUGCCGUAUGGAAUGAGCUAGUUCGUGGGUUCCGGUAGCUGUUUAGGGGCUCUAUGAUUCACAUGAUUUUCAAAACACAUGAAUAAGAAAAAUAUAGGAUGAAAAUGGCAUGUCAUCUUGAAUACUACAGGAAUCAUAUGAUGUUUGAUUGUGCACAGGAAAAACGUAGGAUUCUUACAAAGAGGUUGGAGUGGGUGGAAUUUUUCCAACAAAAUCUAGUACAAAUGAAUCCCAAGGGAUUAUUCGGCUUGUAGGGUUUUGGAAUCAUAAGAAUAGGAAAAGUACAUGAUUGAGAUGUCAUGCACAGUUCAAUUCUUAGGAAUUUUAAAUGAGGUCUCACCUAAUGUGUAGAAUCCUUAGGAACUAGGUCAAUUGGGAUCAAUCCUUAGGAAUCUAGCACCUCGGUUCCUAUGAAACAAAUGUUAUAUAUAGAGAAAAAAAAUCUAAGGUUUAAAAUCCUGAAAAAAAAACUUUAAAAUUCAUGCAAACCAAAUGAGCCCUGAGGGAAAAAAAUCAUGUGGUUUGCAAUCCUUUGAAUCAAACGAUCCACGUAGGGAAAAAAAAUCUUGAGGGUUAGAAUCCUUUGAAUCAAAGAGGGCCUUAGUUUGGAGAGGGAAAUAUCAUAGUCCAAAUCUUUAUCAUCUGACAAAAGAUCUUCUACUUCAUCUGACAUAAGACCUUUACUUAGUGGGACCACGCUGAUGGCCUCUUCUAUCGUACGUAGUUCUUUCGGAAACGAGCAAUACUCCAUUGAGUCCAUUUUGAAUCUGUUUUCUCGGAUGAUAUUUCCUCCUUUUUUUCGAAAAGGGGUUCUCCCCGGCCGAUGCACACAGCCA